UGGGGAAUUUUGGACAAUGGGCGAAAGCCUGAUCCAGCAAUGCCGCGUGUGUGAAGAAGGCCUUCGGGUUGUAAAGCACUUUUGUCCGGAAAGAAAUCCUUGGCUCUAAUACAGUCGGGGGAUGACGGUACCGGAAGAAUAAGCAUCGGCUAACUACGUGCCAGCAGCCGCGGUAAUACGUAGGGUGCAAGCGUUAAUCGGAAUUACUGGGCGUAAAGCGUGCGCAGGCGGUUUGCUAAGACCGAUGUGAAAUCCCCGGGCUCAACCUGGGAACUGCAUUGGUGACUGGCAGGCUAGAGUAUGGCAGAGGGGGGUAGAAUUCCACGUGUAGCAGUGAAAUGCGUAGAGAUGUGGAGGAAUACCGAUGGCGAAGGCAGCCCCCUGGGCCAAUACUGACGCUCAUGCACGAAAGCGUGGGGGAGUAAACAGGAUUAGAUACCCUGGUAGUCCACGCCCUAAAACGAUGUCAACUAGUUGUUGGGGAUUCAUUUCCUUAGUAACGUAGCUAACGCGUGAAGUUGACCGCCUGGGGAGUACGGUCGCAAGAUUAAAACUCAAAGGAAUUGACGGGGUCAUAGCUGUUUCCU
rnacentral:rRNA from 1 species